AGGCUUAUGAGGAAAAUUUUUUAAGUAAUUCUUUAAAUCUCUCCCAAGAGUCAUAUAAUGAUUAUCCAUUUAAUAGAGUGAAUAUAGUGAUGUCAUUCCUAAGCUU